CAAGGGUGCGUAACGCGUAAGUAACUUGCCCAAGGUAAGGAAUAACGUCGAGAAAUCGGCGCUAAUACCUCAUAAUGCAGCGGAUCCGCAUGGAUAUGUUGUUAAAGGUUACCGCCUUGGGAUAGGCUUGCGUCUGAUUAGUUAGUGGUGUGGUAACGGCACACCAAGGCUACGAUCAGUAACUGGUCUGAGAGGAUGAUCAGUCACACUGGAACUGAGACACGGUCCAGACUCCUACGGGAGGCAGCAGUGAGGAAUAUUGGGCAAUGCUCGAAAGAGUGACCCAGCAACGCCGCGUGGAGGAUGAAGGUAUUCUAUAUCGUAAACUCCUGUGAGAGCAGACGAAAGACAGAUUAUUAAUCUGGAUGACUGUAUGCUCAGAGGAAGCCCCGGCUAACUACGUG
rnacentral:rRNA from 1 species